rnacentral:tRNA from 2 species
GCGCCCGUAGCUCAAUGGAUAGAGCAUCGGUCUUCGGAACCGAGGGUUGGAGGUUCGAAUCCUCUCGGGCGUG